UACGUAGGGUGCGAGCGUUGUCCGGAAUUAUUGGGCGUAAAGAGCUCGUAGGCGGUGUGUCGCGUCGGCCGUGAAAACCUGGGGCUCAACUCUGGGCGUGCGGUCGAUACGGGCAUCACUUGAGUUCGGCAGGGGAGACUGGAAUUCCCGGUGUAGCGGUGAAAUGCGCAGAUAUCGGGAGGAACACCGGUGGCGAAGGCGGUUCUCUGGGCCUGUACUGACGCUGAGGAGCGAAAGCGUGGGGAGCGAACAGG
rnacentral:rRNA from 1 species